ACAAGAAAUUCCAGGACCCAUUAGAAAUCAUGUGGCAAAUGCUGAAGGAAUGUCUGCAGAGAAGACCAGAAAUCAAAGGAGAGCCUGCAGAGAAAGAAGCAUUUCCCGGAGGAAGCAGGGGCUCCAUGCCAGCCUCUGCUGCAGGAAGGGAGGCCAUGCCAGGCACAGGCACAGGAGAUGAGGCUGGGAAGGCUUCUCCAUCAGCUUGGAUGAAGAAAGUUUUGAAGCCCUUGGAGCCUCCUGCAGGUAUGU